AUUGAACGCUGGCGGCAUGCCUUACACAUGCAAGUCGAACGGCAGCACGGGAGCAAUCCUGGUGGCGAGUGGCGAACGGGUGAGUAAAGUAUCGGAACGUGCCCAGUCGUGGGGGAUAACGUAGCGAAAGUUACGCUAAUACCGCAUACGAUCUACGGAUGAAAGCGGGGGAUCGCAAGACCUCGCGCGAUUGGAGCGGAUGAUAUCAGAUUAGGUAGUUGGUGGGGUAAAGGCUCACCAAGCCGACGAUCUGUAGCUGGUCUGAGAGGGCGACCAGCCACACUGGGACUGAGACACGGCCCAGACUCCUACGGGAGGCAGCAGUGGGGAAUUUUGGACAAUGGGCGCAAGCCUGAUCCAGCCAUGCCGCGUGCAGGAUGAAGGCCUUCGGGUUGUAAACUGCUUUUGUACGGAACGAAAAGGUUUGGCCUAAUAAGCUGGACCCAUGACGGUACCGUAAGAAUAAGCACCGGCUAACUACGUGCCAGCCGCCGCGGUAA
rnacentral:rRNA from 1 species